CAUAUAGUUCAAGCUACUAAGGGCUAAUGGUGGAUGCCUUGGCGCUGGAAGCCGAUGAAAGACGUGGAAGGCUGCGAUAUGCCACGGGGAGCUGUCAAACAAGCUUUGAUCCGUGGAUUUCUGAAUGGGGAAACCCAAUUUAUUUUAAUAAAUUACUCCUACCUGAAUAUAUAGGGUAGGUAGAGGGAACUAGGGGAAGUGAAACAUCUCAGUACCUAGAGGAAAGGAAAGCAAAAGCGACUCCCUGAGUAGUGGCGAGCGAAACGGGAAGAGCCUAAACCGAUUAAAUGUCAAGACUGAUGUUAUUGUUUAGUCGGUGUUGCGGGGCCUCUUAGAAAGAGCAUCAGAUCUUUCGAUAAGUUACAAAAUAUAAAGUUAGAAAAAUUGCCUGGGAAGGUAAACCACAGAAUGUAAUAGUCAUGUAUUCGAAAACUUUAUAACUUAUUAGAGUCACCCCAAGUAACAAGGAGGAUAUUCCUUGUGAAUCUGCGAGGACCACCUCGUAAGGCUAAGUACAACCAGCGACCGAUAGUGAACAAGUACCGUGAGGGAAAGGUGAAAAGAACCCCGGCGAGGGGAGUGAAAUAGUACCUGAAACCAUUAGCUUACAAGCAGUAGGAGGGAUAUUUAUAUCCUGACUGCCUGCCUUUUGAAGAAUGAGCCAACGAGUUAUCCGUAUAUGGCAAGGUUAAGGAGUAAAUCCGUAGCCGCAGCGAAAGCGAGUUUUAAUAGAGCGUUUAGUCGUAUGCGAUAGACCCGAAGCCAAGUGAUCUAUCCAUGAGCAGGGUGAAGCAAAGGUAAGACUUUGUGAAGGCCCGAACCCACUGAUGUUGCAAAAUCAGGGGAUGACUUGUGGAUAGGGGUGAAAGGCCAAUCAAACUUGGUGAUACUGGUUCUCUCCGAAAUGUCUUUAGGGACAGCGUUAUAUGUUGCGCUUUGGAGGUAGAGCACUGAUUGAUCUAGGGGGCCAACAAGCUUACCAAACUCAGUCAAACUCCGAAUGCCAAAGUGUUUAAAUAUAGCAGUGAGCCCGUGGGGGAUAAGCUCCACGGACGAGAGGGAAACAACCCAGAACAACAGCUAAGGCCCCUAAUUGUAUAUUAAGUGUGAAACGAUGUGAAAGUGUUCAGACAGCCAGGAGGUUGGCUUAGAAGCAGCCAUUCCUUUAAAGAGUGCGUAACAGCUCACUGGUCGAAUGUUUUCGCGCGGAAGAUGUAACGGGGCUAAAUAUACAGCCGAAGCUUUGUCAUCAUAUUAUUAAUCCAGAUUUCGAUCCAGGAAAUAUGAUGGGUAGGAGAGCGUUGUAUGGGCAAUGAAGCAGCAACGAGAGUUAGUUGUGGAGACCAUACAAGUGAGAAUGUUGGCAUGAGUAGCGAAGGAAGAGUGAGAAUCUCUUCCGCCGAAUGUCCAAGGGUUCCUGGGGAAGGUUCGUCCGCCCAGGGUUAGUCGGGACCUAAGACGAGGUCGAGAGACGUAGCCGAUGGAUAACAGAUUGAUAUUUCUGUACCACUAUAUAAGCGCCAAAAUCGAAUAUAUGUCGCUAAGGAAAGCCUUCGGGCCUACCGACCCACAUAUUAUUAGAUUAGCAAUGGAGUGACGGAGAAGGAUAAAUGAGCCCAGGCGAUGGUUGACCUGGGGUAAAUGCGUAGGGUGAUCGACAGGUAAAUCCAUCGAUCAUGAAACCUGAGACAUGAUGCCGAGCCGCUUUUAGGCGAAGUCAUUGAUUCCAUACUUCCAAGAAAACCUUCUAGUUAGUUUAUAUAGUGCCCGUACCCCAAACCGACACAGGUGGACAAGUAGAGAAUACUAAGGCGAGCGAGAGAACUCUGGUUAAGGAACUCGGAAAAAUAGUUCCGUAACUUCGGAAGAAGGAACGCCCCAGUAAAGUGAGUGAUUAACUUCAUUAGCUUGAACGGGCCGCAGUGAUCAGACUCAAGCGACUGUUUAUAAAAAACACAGGAGGGUGCAAAGUUCGAAUACAACGUAUACCCUCUGACACCUGCCCGGUGCUGGAAGGUUAAGUGGAUAGGUUAGCUUCGGCGAAGCUUUGAAAUUAAGCCCCAGUAAACGGCGGCCGUAACUAUAACGGUCCUAAGGUA
rnacentral:rRNA from 1 species